AAGUCGUAACAAGGUAACCGUAGGUGAACCUGCGGUUGGAUCAUUUACGAUCUGUACCCUGACAAAGGGUCGAUCCACAACUGUGCACCUGUCGACGUACUUGGCGGCGGGAUGAAUCUGCAUACACGUUGGUUCCCUUCGAUUCUGUAGAUUCGGAAUGAAGGAAGCUCGUGGAGUGGAGUAGUCCGCGUCGGAUGUCGUAAUCGGCUCCGGCGUAUGCCGUCUGUGAAAUGAACAUCUUACACUUUUGACUAAACCAUCAAGUCACGCAAGUGAUUAAAAUCCAAAACAACUUUCGACAAUGGAUCUCUUGGCUCUC
rnacentral:misc_RNA from 1 species